CCGUGCCCCGAGGACUCGCUGACCCCAAUGAGGCUGGCCGUCAAUUACUCCCUGGACCCCGAAUACCCCACAGACCCCACAGACGACCCCAUUGCCGUCAUAGACCCCAUAACCAACUCGGCCUGGAUUGAGGUGGGAGGAUGUGGGGAGAUAUAAGGUGGAUAUGGGGGAUAUGGGGUGGUUAUAGGGGGAUAUGGGAUGUGGAUGAUAGGGGGAUAUGGGGGGCCUAUGGGGGAGCAUGGGGUCAUAGGGGGGAAUAUGGGAUCCUAUGGGGUGGAUAUGGGGAGCUAUGGGGUCAUGUGGGGGGAUAUGGGGUUGAUAUGGGGUGGUUAUGGGGUCCUAUGGGGGGAUAUGGGGUUGAUAUGGGGUAAUAUAUAUGGGGAUAUGGGGUUCAUAUGGGGAUAUGGGUGUUAUGGGGGUGAUUAUAGGGAUAUCUGGGUCAUUAUGGGGUAGGAUAUUGGGGUUAUAGGGUCAUCAUGGGUGGGAUAAUGGGGAUGGAAUAUGGGGUGGUUAUGGGUUCCUAUGGGGGGAUAUGGGGUGAUAUGGGGGAUAUGGGGUGAAUAUAGGGGGAUAUGGGGUCAUGGGGGGGAUAUGGGAUCUAUGGAGUGAAUAUGGGGGUAUGGGUCAUGUGGGGCUAAUCACCCCCUAAUUACCACUAAUUAACCCCUAAUCUCACUCUAAUUAACCCUAAUUAACCACCCCCCCCAUAUUAAUUAGUGUGCCGUACGAGCAGCGCUGCGGCUCGGCCGGGCUGUGUGACCCGAUGUGAGUUUGUCGGCUAGAGCGCCCCUGGCGGAGCUGUGUUCCUUGGAGGACCGGAAGUGACGGCCGCCAUCUUGGUGCCGCUGGAAACCUAAAGAACCGGAGGGACGGACCCGGAGUCACCUCAAUUCCGGAAUGCGGCCGGAAGUGCUUUCAGGAGGGCUACGGCCAGCUAUGGGCUCAACCCCGGUGCCUGUGGACUGCAGGGAGGGGGCAGAGGGGGGGACAUUGAGGUGCCACGUGGGACACCCCGUAUUUAGGGCUGACAGCACGGUGCUGCUGGAGCUGAGCCUGGAGCUGAACCAGAACCAGUCGUGGGGGGGAGAGAUUCUAUGUAUUGCAUCGGUGGGUGUCAUCUAUGGACGGAAUCACAGGUGGGUUAUGGGGCGACCUUAUGGGAUGAU
rnacentral:lncRNA from 1 species